CCAUCUCUCAUCCGCACAGAGCCUGGGAAAGAUCCAUGGGAAGGGCAGAGCUGAUGGGGAGAAGGGAGCUGCAGAGGUUUGGUGUGUGCCAGAGGGAAGGUGAUGCUCCGCAGGAUGAGAGCACUGUAAAUUGUGUGGUGGAAAAUCCAGAGUGAAGCCACGAAUGAGCUCCCCACUGCCUCCUGAAAAUAUAAACUGCUGAGACUUCCCAGUUCUUGGAGACUUCAGGACCUCAAAGCCCAGCUCGCUCUUGCCACUGACCUGACUCCAGAGUGAUUGCUCCCCUUCCUUGGAGUGCAGAAGGAUCCAGCCCAGCCCUGCUCCAUCCUGGUACCAGGUGAAACACCCCAAAACAUUAAUCUGUUUUUAAAUGCCCCCUGGUUGCACUCUGGAGGGAGAAAACUCCCCAGUGAAAUCAGGCAGUGUCACCUCUCGAACUGCAGCUUCCAUGUUUUAAGGGAAUUAUAAACCAGCAGUGACUGUCAGCCUCACCUUUUCCUCACCUCCCCCCUUUCCCUCACUCAGAUUUGUUUUUUUCCCACUUAAUUAAAGCCUCUGAUCCUGCUUUAAUAUUAGAGAGCACGUCUGGGUGCAUAAAUAAACAUGCUGAACACAUGGUGAGUGCCCCAAAGCGGUGCCUGGUGGGGACUCUCCCAGGCAGAACAAGCCAGUUGGAUUUUAAUGGAAAAUCCGUGUGAAGCUGUAAAAACUGGCAAGCAGAACAACAAAAGAUGACAGUGUUGUGUUAAAGAAUUAAAGGAUCAGUGUUUAAAGUGUUGCCUUGAACAUAAACUUGGUGGGUUGAGCUGCUGUUCCCGGGGGUAGCUGUGUCCAAGCUGGGAAUUUGACAGCCCAGCUCGUCUCAGAGCAUCACUCCCUUCAUCCUCCUGGUGUCCCUGAUCUUUGGGACAGCCCUACCCACCCAAGCACCCCGAGAAUCCCAAAACCAUGUCCAAAAGCAGAGUUGCCCCCCAAACCCCACAGGUCAGCCCAUACCAGUGGGGUUGGGACCAACCUCCUCUCCCUGGGAUCCAGAAACAUCUCCCAGGCUGGUGAAGAGCACCAGGAGACUUCUGUUAAAUAAAAUAAAUCCAAUCCUGGGGUGUUAUUGCAGCUGAUAACUCCAUUAGAGUUUACUUUUUUCCUUGUUGUUUCGCUGUGUCUUCUCAUUUGACCCACAUGUGUGGAAACCUGCUUAAGUAGAGGCAACUGCCAGAGGCAAAAUUGAAUCUACAGGCAUCUUCGAGAGAGCAAAUUACUUGUUUAUCAUCCUUAUACUCUCCCUGUUGGUUUCCUUGUAUAGCCAGGGAUGUUUAAAGACUUUGGUAGCUGUGAAAUGCUGCAAUUUCCUUCCCUGCUCCCUCAUCUCCUUUUGCUGUUACCAUCAUUAGCAUUUGAAAACCAGACACGGCCAGAGCGUUUACAACCUUAAAAUCAAUAAUAAUAAUAAAAAAACCCAAACAAAUUACAUUUCAAGGCUGGAAACAAAUGGCUUUUUCCUGUUCUCUGCUUACAGGCUGCUGUGGGGGGAAAAUCUGUGUCCGUGUGCUGUGGUGUGGACAGAGGGGAAAGGAAGAUUCCCUUGGGACAGGAUUCCCACCCAGGCAGCAGUGACAGUGUGGCCAGGCUGGGAAAGAGUGUGUGAAAAUCUCCUUGGAAACGCAGCCCUAAUGGUCUGUCUCCUCCCCGUGCCGCCGUUCCUGCAAGCGAAGCAGAAAGCUGUGCUCUGUGUGUGCCGCCUGCUCUCCUAAUUAACUGGCUGUGGGCACAGGAUCCCGGCGGUGCUGAUGGAGCUGUAACCCCGGGGUGCUGGAUGUGUGUGUGGCUCUUGAUUCCUGGGCAUCCCUGGAUCGUUACUGUGCCCUGAUGAUCCUGCUGCGGGAAUUGCCGGGGUGGGGGGCUCAGAUUUGGAGGCUGGGCAGCACCACAGCUCUGCACAGCCAAGGGGGUGCUGCCCCAGCUCUGUCCUGGUGGUCACCCGGGGGAGCAGACAGAAUUCCAGGUGGGAAUUGGGAGAUGCAGCUCCAGCCCUUUGCACGAGAACAGCAGUUUUGACAAGGAAUUCCAGCCCCACCAACCUGCUCUGAGCCCAGGUUUGGGUUGGAAAUGGGCACCAGCUCUGAGGGCUUGCAGGGGUGUGGGGAGCCCUUCCCUGCUCCCCCCAACACCCACCCACCUUGUCCUCUGGGUAGGACAGGAGUAGUUAAUCCUGCAGCUGCUCUCAUCUGGGUUCCCUGGCAGUUGGAACUGCGGGAUGGGAGCCUUCGGGAAGGCAGUUAAUGCCCGUUAAUCCUCUCCCGGUGCGAGGUGUCUGAGGAGGAGGUGGUAAAGUACAGCAGCAGCACACGGCGUUCUGCCUGCCCGGGGUGAGCGGCUGGGUCAGACC